UACGAAGGGGGCUAGCGUUGCUCGGAAUCACUGGGCGUAAAGCGCACGUAGGCGGAUCUUUAAGUCAGGGGUGAAAUCCCGGAGCUCAACUCCGGAACUGCCUUUGAUACUGAGGACCUUGAGUCCGGGAGAGGUGAGUGGAACUGCGAGUGUAGAGGUGAAAUUCGUAGAUAUUCGCAAGAACACCAGUGGCGAAGGCGGCUCACUGGCCCGGUACUGACGCUGAGGUGCGAAAGCGUGGGGAGCAAACAGG
rnacentral:rRNA from 1 species